rnacentral:sRNA from 1 species
UUUGAAGAAAUAAAAGUUUGCAUCGGCUUAUGCCUGAUGCCUGUUCUGCAUACAUUGUGAAGAGAAGAUUGAUCUGGAGGCUUCCAGGUGUUUUGGGUUUUGGCCCGAAACGUCCGAGCCCAGUUCUGCUGAUCCUAUGGAUGGCCUAGCCGGCCGGAGAUAGGGGAAGGACUGGAGGUAGGAAGGAAGCUUGUCGCUCUGGAUCGUUUGUUGUUCGUUGCCCUUGGGCAAUGUCUGAUGAACGAUCGGAUUACCGUUGCCUGACCGCGCGGUAUCGGAUCAUAUCUCGAGAAGCUGGUCUUAAGACAGGCUGCAAGUGGGCUGCUCGGCGUAGCUCCAAUAAAGCAGACCUGUCGAACACGUCGAUGGCAUCAUGAAAUGAUCUGGUUGUAAAAGGUAACCGGAUUUUGGACUGACCGCACGGCA